AUAUAUAAAGCAAAAGGCAGAGAAUGGUGAAACAUUGAUUAAUCCCAAAUAUAUCCUUUGUUAAACAAAAAAUUAAAAGCACACAAUUUUAAUUAAAAGAGGGUGAAAUCGUAAAACACCAUUGAUUUUAAAAGAAAAAAAUAAAAAAAAUAAAAAAGGAGUAGUGCUGUAGAAAAUAAAGUCGUGCUGUGCGAUUGAUUUUAAAAAAAAGAAAAAAGGAGUCGUGCUGUACAAAAUAGAGUCGUGCUGUGCUGUGCUUGACUCAGAGAAGAAGGGCUGAAGAACGUGGAGAAAAAUUCCUCAUGUUCAGAACCCACGAAGCUGGCGGUUUCCACAAUUUCAGAACCCAUCACCACCAUGUUACUUAUAUUUUCUUCCUCCACUUUACUGGCACUCUUUUCUGCUUCAGAAAUCCAAAUCGAGAGUAACCACUCAGGAACACCCAGUGUAAAGACUGGUCAGACCCAAAAACCUUGCUUUCUCAUUCCGCACCACACCUGUUACCUUGUAACUGAAGGAGAGGUUAUACACCAUUCACCAUUAGAGAAAGCACCAGCAAGCCCAAGGCUUAUAAUUCAUGGUCGCCAACUCUUGAAGCAUUGUUCUCAACUGCGUCUGUUCUUCUUGCGGGAAACCUUGCUGAUCCAAAAUCAAAGCAUUUAGAUUUGAUGGGUUUGAUGUGAAUGAGCACCAAUGAAGAAAGCAUUUAUAUUUGAUGGGUUUGAUGUGAAUGAUUCAAUCGUCUCUCACCUCUUUGACGUAUAAGCAAUCACUGAAGCAAAGAAGCAAAGAUAACUUUCAGGAGAGCUUGGGUACGAAAUCCAAAUACGAGAAGCGGUCGUUCGCCCAAAUUGUCUAACCAUUCUUCACUUUGAAGGAUUCUCUUCCAAAAAUCUAUCCAUUGCUAGGUAUGGGAAUACGCCCACAUUCACCUACCUUUACAUUAUUUUCUUCGUUUGCUAAUUAUACUUUUUUACCUAAUAAAGCAACAAGCAGCUCACAGAAGAACAAUGAAAACAUUAAACAGAGAAAAUCAUUUUGCUUGCUCCUUUGUAUUUGAUUAUUAUUAUACCAACCAAAACAAUGAAGACUACAACCUGGACAUGCUCAAGGUUGAACUUUGCAAUAUAUGUAUUAUAUUUUUUAAUUAAUUAAUCAUUUGUAUUAAUAACCAAUCUUUUGUAUUAAUAAUCGAUGUACCCUAAUUUGAUUUAUAUAAGAAGUUCGUUUUCAAUGUA